UGUGAAAAGUAUAACAUUUCGUUUUCAAGUUGAUUUUUUUCUUUUUGUUUUGUACUGUUUGAAAUAGUAUAUUGCAAACCUCAGAUUUGAGUUCUUGGUAACUGAGGUAGACCAUACUAAGGUUGAGUAUGGCAAGUUACAGAAGCGAAACUUAACUAGGAAAGCCUGGUUUUUCAAACUGUUUUUCCCCAAUUGAAAUCUUUUGUAUCAAAAGGUUCUUCUUGUAACCUUAUUAUGGUGUGAAAAGUAUAACAUUUCGUUUUCAAGUUGAUUUUUUUCUUUUUGUUUUGUACUGUUUGAAAUAGUA